GAUGAACGCUGGCGGCGUGCCUAAUACAUGCAAGUCGAGCGAACAGACGAGGAGCUUGCUCCUCUGACGUUAGCGGCGGACGGGUGAGUAACACGUGGAUAACCUACCUAUAAGACUGGGAUAACUUCGGGAAACCGGAGCUAAUACCGGAUAAUAUAUUGAACCGCAUGGUUCAAUAGUGAAAGACGGUUUUGCUGUCACUUAUAGAUGGAUCCGCGCCGCAUUAGCUAGUUGGUAAGGUAACGGCUUACCAAGGCAACGAUGCGUAGCCGACCUGAGAGGGUGAUCGGCCACACUGGAACUGAGACACGGUCCAGACUCCUACGGGAGGCAGCAGUAGGGAAUAUUCCGCAAUGGGCGAAAGCCUGACGGAGCAACGCCGCGUGAGUGAUGAAGGUCUUCGGAUCGUAAAACUCUGUUAUUAGGGAAGAACAAAUGUGUAAGUAACUAUGCACGUCUUGACGGUACCUAAACAGAAAGCCACGGCUAACUACGUG
rnacentral:rRNA from 1 species